rnacentral:tRNA from 1 species
UCCCUGGAGGUCCAGUGGCUAAGGCUCUGUGCUCCCAAUGCAGGAGACCCAGGUUCAAUCCCUGGUCAGGGAA